rnacentral:rRNA from 1 species
UACGUAGGCAGCAAGCGUUGUUCGGAAUUACUGGGCGUAAAGCGUGCGCAGGCGGUUCUCCAAGUCCGUUGUGAAAGCCCCCGGCUCAACUGGGGAGGGUCAUUCGAUACUGAUCGACUCGAAGGCAGGAGAGGGUAGUGGAAUUCCCGGUGUAGUGGUGAAAUGCGUAGAUAUCGGGAGGAACACCAGUGGCGAAGGCGACUACCUGGCCUGUUCUUGACGCUGAGGCGCGAAAGCUAGGGGAGCAAACGGG